rnacentral:pre_miRNA from 1 species
UCAUUCAGAUUCGCCAUCAUACGUCCAACCGUGCAUUUGAUAUGCAUAUAUAUGCAUCACGAGCCACGGUUGGGCUGUAUGAUGGCGAUACCGAUUGG